CUUUUCGCUAAUGAUUGCGUGCUGUAUCGUGUCAUUCAUAACCCACAUGACGUUUCUACUUUGCAGUCCGACAUUGACACUGUUUCUAACUGGUGCGACAAGUGGCUCAUGAAAUUAAACAUUACAGUGACUGGAACCACCUUCCUGCCUCCAUUGCUGCAAUCGAAGAAUCUGCCGCCUUCAAAAUAGCAGUUAUAGAUGUAUUGUUCUCGGACCACUCCUCUCUGUAAUGGAGAGAGACUCGGGAGAGAGACUCGGGAGACACCGUGGUGGCACUGCAAACAAAACUUUAUCGCACACACCACGGCAAACAGAACUCUAACACGCACUCAAAAUUUACAACAAAAAGUACCAUUAGGAAAUGCGACGCUAUUGCGCAAUCACUAACAGACAAUCGCAAAACCUUCGAGCUAUGCCUAGCUCCUCUCAACCCGAGAGUCUGGCCACUAUGGCCUCUCAGUCACUCGCGAUACCAAUGGAGCGUUCUUACGGUUCGCGGUGUCCGCUGACUCGACGCCUCGCUGAUCGUCCUCCUCGCCGAUGCUUCCUUCCUUUCGGAGAACACCGGUCUCUCCCAGUUAGGCCUAACUGUCGGCCUCUCGUCAGUGCCACUGGCUCGAACUGUCGACGUGGCUCCGUGAUUGUCGG